UGGCCAUCUUCCUCUGCUUUAUGUGUGGGACGCCUGCCACAGCAUGACUUGGCAAGCCGUGAGAAGGUCCGCACCCGGGAUUGAACUGGUGAACCCCAGGCCACUGAAGUGGAACGUGCAAAUUUACCUGCUGCACCAUCGGGCAGGGGCCAAGCUCCAUGCAGCCACUGUCCUCUGGGAAAAUGCAUUCCUGGCUGCACACCAGGAAGCUUCAUUCUUUCAGAACAAUGAAUUGGUUUCUUAAUAUUCUUCAAGAGUAACCAAUUAGUUUGGCUGCAAGUUUUGAGAUUAGAUUCCUGUAUGCAAGUCCAACAAUGCUGAGGAUGGCACUCAACAGCACCAGCUGAGAAGAUAAACAUGACGUGCCUACCAUGUGCUUGGCCCUGAAGAUACAAAAGUAAAUAAGAGACUUUGCCUUCUGCCUCAGGAAAGUCUGGAGUCUAGUUACAUUCACCAUGCCUCUCUCUGACGACCAUUUCUUUAUUGAAGGUGGACAGGAAACAAACAGGAUACACUGGUUUGAAACUUUUUAAAAAGCUUAUUAUUGUUAAUUCCACGUUUUUAAAUAACCUUUUGAUCUGUUUUGGAUUUUCCCCCAUCCCUCCCUCCUCUGCUGUUUCCCUUAAAAUAGCAUUCAGUGCACACACAUUGUGUUUUCAUUAAAUGGAUAUGUUUACUCUAAAAA